rnacentral:rRNA from 1 species
UACGUAGGGUGCAAGCGUUGUCCGGAAUUAUUGGGCGUAAAGAGCUUGUAGGCGGUUUGUCGCGUCUGCUGUGAAAUUUCGGGGCUCAACCCCGAACUUGCAGUGGGUACGGGCAGACUAGAGUGUGGUAGGGGAGACUGGAAUUCCUGGUGUAGCGGUGAAAUUCGUAGAUAUUGGGAAGAACACCGGUGGCGAAGGCGGCUCUCUGGGACGGUACUGACGCUGAGGCGCGAAAGCGUGGGGAGCGAACAGG